UACAGAGGUCUCAAGCGUUGUUCGGAUUCAUUGGGCGUAAAGGGUGCGUAGGUGGCGGGGUAAGUCUGGUGUGAAAUCCCGGGGCUCAACCCCGGAACUGCAUCCGAUACUGCCAUGCUAGAGUGAUGGAGAGGUAGCUGGAAUUCUUGGUGUAGCAGUGAAAUGCGUGGAGAUCAAGAGGAACACUCGUGGCGAAAGCGAGCUACUGGACAUUUACUGACGCUGAGGCUCGAAGGCCAGGGUAGCGAAAGGG
rnacentral:rRNA from 1 species